AACGGGGGGGGCUAGCGUUAUUCAUCAUUACUGGGCGUAAAGGGUACGUAGGCUGUUUAUUAAGUUUAAAUUAAAAAAUCAAGGCGUAACUUUGAAAUUAAUUUUUAUACUGUUAAACUAGAGGUUAUUUGAAGAAAGUUGUAUUCUUAGUGUAAAAGUAAAAUUUGACAAUAUUAAGGAGACAUCUAACUGGCGAAAGCGGCUUUCUAUUUUAAAUUCUGACGCUGAGGUACAAAAGCAUGGGGAGCAAACGGG
rnacentral:rRNA from 1 species